AAGAAGACGCGCACACACACGUACACAGAAUUACAUUAUUCACAAACUGAACAAAAAUGGCUAAUAAUCCCACAACAAACCUUGCCCAAAGCUACUAUUGGCCAUCAAGCCCUCCCCAGCUGCCGCUGUUAGCUCAUCGAACAGACACCCACCACCGUAACUAUCCUCCCCGCUCUGCAGCCAUGGUGGAGGAUACNACCCAUCCCUCCACUGAGUCAUCCAACAGAAAAUCGUUCUUCAACUCGGACGCGUCGUAACUCGUCUCCAGACUCGGCAAUUCCACGAUCUCACUCAACUCGUCUUCUGAUCCCGUAGAUAAAUCCAUCGCCGAUACCAGCGAGGAUAAAGAAUUGGUGGAAGCCAAAGAUAUUGAGGAAGAUGUUUUUGAGUCGAGCUUUUGGUCAAAUAUGUCCAUUUGGGCUGCCUUGGCUGCGGCUGCUUGCACGUCGCGAGGGGCGAGUGAUGCAGGUCGAGGAAGGUAGUUGGCGAGCUCGGGAAAGUUGAGAAUGGUGGAGUUGCCUUUGAUGCUUAAGGCAGCAACGUCAUGGGCUCGAGCUGCCAUUUCAGGGGUAGGGAAGGUACCGAGCCAAAUGCGGGAUUUCUUGCGGGGCUCGCGAAUUUCAGACACCCAUUUGCCCCAGUUCCGCAUGCGAACUCCACGGUAGACUGGGUGUUUGUUGGAGUCCCGUAAGCGUUUGAUCUUUUUGGUUGGGGAGUGUCCGUCUUGUAGGUCUAGUUGUUGUUGUUGGGGUUUUGAUGGGACAGAGUUAGAGUUUGGGUUGGAGACUGAAUGGUUUGACCCUGGUGAGGAGGGUGAGGGUGGUGAUGAAGAUGACGAUGACGAUGGCGAUGACGAUGAGUUUGAGCUGCUUUCCAUCUCUGAAUUUUGAGUUUGCUCAGUCAUCUUUCUUUCUUUAGUGGACACUCAGUUUUUUAAGGCUAAUUACUAGUGAAUCAGUGAAUGAUCAGCAAUGAUUAUUCAAGCUGUUUGCUAGUGCUUGUAAUUUUGAAGCAGAAGACAGAAAGCAUCCACGUAAUAUGUAGAGAAAUUGAAAAGGCCUGGUUAAGCUAAGCAGUUAAAGUAGAGAUGGAGAUUGUCAGGCAUGUACCUAGAAGAUGAGAGUUAGAGACGGAGAGGUAGAGCAGUAGUAGUUGGGCAGCAGGCAAAUGAAGGAAUUAAAGGAAAAGGGAAGGAGGGAGUGACACAUAUGAAGCUUGGAAGAGGUCGAGCUUGAUUAAGGAGGGC
rnacentral:misc_RNA from 1 species